UUUUUUUGACUGCAUAGCUACCAUUGAUAACGUUGUGUGGGACUCUAGAUGUAAUGAAGAAACUUUUCAUUUCCUAAGGAAGUCAUUCAGGCUGAAUACUUCAGACUUCUACUCAAACAAGUUACGUAGUUGGUUUUGUCAUUUUCCGCUGUGUUUUUUUUCGUUCGCUUGCCUCUUCUUUCUUUCUUUCACUACUUAUUCAAAAGGGUAACCAGAAGUAUUGCAUUCACCUGAUUGAGCUACUUAACAAUCGUGUUUGUUCUCUUUAAAGUUACCUAACUGCAAGAGCAUGCCUCUUGAUACCAGGCAACGUGAUUUGCCUCCUCAACCUUGCUUUGAGGAUAACGCAGCUCGAACUGUCCCUCUCCCUGAGCUCGGGAGACCAUAUGCAGCUGAGCUUCAGGCUCGCUGUUUGCAGCCAUCGCCACUCCAGUCUCUUCUGUGGAGUCAUCAUGAUAAGGAGUCUUGUGGAAAACGGUUCUCGAUGUCUGACAUGAGGUCUUGGUGCGCUGCUGCUGCUGCUACUCCACAUGGAGCAUUAGAGUCUUCUCAGAAAGGACUUAUGAUAUUCGAUCAGUCAGGAAACCUGAUAGCUGGAAGCUCAAUGAAAUCUUUGCCACUGGAAUUGUCUUGGGAGGCUACCAAGCCGUUAUGAGUGUGAUUUUCUUCUGGGUGAUUCACAAGACUGACUUCUGCUCGGACAAGUUUGGUGUAAGGUCAAUCAGGGACAAUAACGAUGAACUAAUGUUUGCUGUGUACCUACAAGUUAGUAUCAUCAGCCAAGCGCUUAUAUUCGUCACGAGGUCAAGGAGUUGGUCAUUUGUUGAACGUCCUGGGGCGCUUCUGAUGAUUGCAUUCGUCAUUGCACAACUGAUUGCUACUUUGAUUGCAGUGUAUGCAAACUGGACAUUUGCAAAGGUGAAGGGUAUAGGUUGGGGAUGGGCUGCUGUGAUUUGGGUUUACAGUAUUUUAACAUACAUCCCACAAGACAUUUUGAAGUUUGCCAUACAUCUUGAGUGGAAAGGCUUGGGUCAGCAUGUUUGACAAAAGGAGCGCUCUGACGACCAGGAGAGAUUACGGUGCUUGAGAAAGACAAGCUUAGUGGGCGAGAGAACAAAGGACGCAGCACGGUCUGCAGACAAGACAAGAGGUCAACGUCUUCCCAGAGAACGAGGGUUACAGAGAGCUGUCUCAGAUUGUUGAGCUGUCUCAGAUCGUUGAGCAAGCCAAGAAAAAGGCCGAGAUAGCUAGGCUUAGGGAGAUUCACACAUUUAAGGGACAUGUUGAAUCAGUCGCAAAGCUAAAGGGCUUGGACAUUGAUACAUCAAGACAUCACUACACUCUGUAGUUGCCAUAACUAUUCCCAAAAACUCUCUUUUUUAAUUGUUAGUCAUUGUUCCUAAACUUCUAAAAUAGAGCUUUGCAUUUGCCUUUGAAAAAACAAGGCUUUUGCGUUAAGAGUAUAUAUAUAUAUAUUUUAAAUUGUUCAUGCAA